ACCAUAGCUAGCCUUACUAUCCAUUCAGGAAGAAGCGGUUCUGAUUAGCUUAGCUAGCUAAAAAUCUUUAUAGUGCAAAAAUGGCGUCGGUCAACCCGUUUAAUCUCAGUGAUUCCGAGGAAGAGGCUGAACGGCGCCCCAAUGAAACAGUUGACACAGAGAGAAGCCCGAGUGACGGGGCACCGGGGCCGCCACCAGGUAAUCCUUUCUCUCCGCCAGCGGACGCCGAGCCUCCAACGCUUCUGCUGUCUAGCAACCGGACGAGCCCCAGCGGUGAGGGCUCGGGCUCGGUCGCGGCCACCGCCGCUAUGGCAGGCACCGCCGAGACACGGAUAUCAGUGGAUGUUAUCGCCGCUCAGCUGUUACGGGACCAAUAUAUUCUCACGGCCCUGGAGUUUCACACAGAACUGUUGGAAGCAGGCAGAGAGCUCCCGAGGCUGAGGGAUUAUUUCUCUAACCCGGGCAACUUCGAGCGACAGAGCGGCACACCGCCUGCCAAGGACCAGGUACUCGGACCCGGAGGACCAUUGAACCGAGCCGGCAGCAUCAGCACCUUAGACUCUCUGGACUUCGCCCGUUACUCAGAUGACGGCAACCGAGAGUCGGACGAGCGGGUGGCAGUGCUGGAGUUUGAGCUACGGAAAGCAAAGGAGACCAUUCAGGCUCUGCGCGCCAACUUGACUCAGGCAGCAGAGAGCGAAGUGCCCUCUCAGGAGAGAAAAAACUUCAAGUCGAGUCCUGAAAUUCAGGAGCCUUUACGCCCACUGGAGAAAAGAGCCUUAAACUUCCUUGUGAAUGAAUAUUUAUUAAAAAACGAAUACAAACUCUCAUCCAUCACCUUCUCUGAUGAGAAUGACGAUCAGGACUUUGAGUUGUGGGAUGACGUCGGCCUCAACAUCCCAAAACCCCCCGACCUGUUACAGCUCUACAGGAACUGUGGUACCCCCCUCCCUUCUCCUCGGGACACGGUUGAUGUUUCAGUAGGCGUGGAUUUCGGCGAUCUUCCAGGAAACUGCAUCGCCCAAGAUCCCCCAAAGAAGCCUGACCUCUCACAUCAGCAACAGACAGAAGUCGUCCAAGAGUUGGAGUACCAGAUAAGCCUCCUCAACAAUGAGAAGCAGAGCCUUGCUGAGCAGAUCAAGAAACUGCAGAGUGAGAUUCAAACACUAAAGAGGACUGUCUCCUCCCCACCUCCGGCCACUCUGGACUUGGGCUCCCAGAAUACAUCCAAUCCUUCCUCCUCCACCACCGCCAUCACUUCCUCCACCGACCCUCCCUCUGUGCCUCCGACAGAUAACGGCCAGUAUCUGGACAUCCGGGGUGUUUCAGAGCCUGAAACUAAACCGGACCCCCCCUCUGCUCAGAGCAUAUCACAGCCUCACCCACAGUCCCACAAUAAGCUUAAGAGUCGGCCUCCUGUCCAGUUCGAUCAGCCCAACAGGAAGCUAUCCCCGGCCUUCCUGCAAGCCCUGCUGUCCUUCUGCAGAAUGUGCUCCGACAGCCGCUUGGGAGCAGAGGUGUCCCGCAUAGCAGACAGUGAGGAGAGCGUGAUGUUAAUGCUGGGCCGCUGCCUCCCUCACAUCGUCCCUAAUGUCCUCCUUGCUAAACGAGAGAGAAUGGUUGCACAUCUUUGCCAGGAAUUGAUCCCACUCAUCUUAUGUACUGCCUGCCUUCACCCAGAGCCUAAAGAGAGAGACCAGCUCCUCCACAUCCUCUUUAAUUUAAUCAAGAGACCAGAUGAUGAGCAAAGACAAAUGAUCUUGACAGGAUGUGUUGCAUUCGCAAGGCAUGUGGGUCCCACGCGUGUCGAGGCUGAGCUACUUCCUCAGUGCUGGGAACAGAUUAACCACAAAUAUCCGGAGAGGAGAUUGUUGGUGGCGGAGUCCUGUGGGGCCUUAGCACCAUACCUGCCUAAGGAGAUCCGUAGCUCCUUAGUGUUGUCCAUGUUGCAGCAGAUGCUCGCUGAGGAUAAGGCUGACAUGGUUAGAGAGGCUGUGGUCAAGAGUCUGGGUAUCAUCAUGGGUUACAUUGAUGACCCUGACAAGUACUCCCAGGGUUUUGAGCUGAUGCUGCUGUCACUGGGGGACCCAUCAGAGCGGGUGGUCAGUGCAGUCCAUCAGGUCUUCAUUCCUGCCUUUGCUGCCUGGACUACAGAGCUGGGCACCCUGCAAUCUGCACUCAUCCCUUCUCUGUUGGCACGUAUAGAGAAGCUACUUAUGCAAGGAGAACAUGGUCUGGAUGAACACAAGCUCCACGUGUUCCUUUCGGCCCUGCAGUCUCUCAUCCCUCCUCUGUUCGCCGUGGUGCUGCAGAAUGCACCCUUCACCAGCAGAGCCAAACUCAACGGAGACAUACCUGCAAUAGAGGUGACGCGGUUCCCCAGGCCAGCGUCGCCCCUCCAGGACGUGGCAACCAUCAUCGGCAGCAGGGAGAUGCUGAGUGCUCUGCUGCUGCUCUACGACCACCAGCUGGAGCAUGAGGGAACCACUGGCUGGGACAGCCUGCUAUGGGUGGUCAACCAACUCCUUCCGCAGCUCAUAGAGAUCGUGGGUCGUAUCAAUGUUACGUCAUCGACCUGCGUGCACGAGUUCUCACGCUUCUUCUGGAGGUUCUGUCGCACCUUCGGCAAGAUUUUUACCAACGCUAAGGUCAAACCACAGUUCCAAGAGAUCCUCCGACUAUCUGAGGAGAAUGUUGAUGUUACAGCAGGGAACGAUAUUCUCACCAAAGCCACAGUCCCUAUCUAUGCCACUGGAGUGCUGACUUGUUACAACCAGGACGAGGAUCGCAAAUUGUUGGUGGGUUUCCUGGAGGAUGUCAUGACAACACUGUCCCUGUCCCAUGCACCUCUGGACAGCUUAAAGGCCUCCUUUGUAGAGCUAGGUGCCAACCCAGUGUACCAUGAAUUGCUGCUCACUGUUCUGUGGUAUGGGGUCGUCCAUACCUCUGCACUGGUCCGGUGUACUGCAGCACGGAUGUUUGAGCUGCUGGUGAAGGGGGUGAAUGAGACGCUGGUAGCUCAGAGAGUGGUGCCGGCUCUCAUCACACUGUCCUCCGACCCUGAAAUUUGGUUCUCCGAGGCAUGAGUGAAGCAUUAGUAGAUCGCCGUGCGGCUCCGGCCCUUAUAACUCUGUGCAGUGGGCCUGAAUUGUGAGUCAAUCGACACAAGAAAACCUCUCUGUAAACAUUGUCAUUUUGUGGGCUGCAUUCUUACAGUGUGAAGCAACAUCCUGCUAGAAAUCUGUCUUACUGAGCUUGAAUGGGCACUAAAAAAAAAAAAAAAGACAUUUGACACAUAAACUGUUCAGUACAUCUGAAGAACAUCAGUGGCAGCUUCUUUAACCACCACAAACAUUCAGUGGAAAAGGAAGUCAGGGUCUGAAGUCAUUUGCCACUCUUCCUGUAUCCUGUCUUCAAUGAUCCACCAGUCUGGAGCCGCAGUGAAUGGCUAAACAUUUGAAGUUGGAUGAAUACUGAAAUCUAACUUUAAUCACAUUUGUCCUUUUCAUUGUAGUAUAAACACAACAAUCUUCUUAGCUGUACUUUGACAGUUAUUCAAAGACCAGCUCUCCUACAAAUACAUAUUUAGGGCUGCAAGCGUAUAGCCGUCAUGUUUGUGAUUAGACAAGAUAAAUAAAUUAGUGGCAACACUGUUGGAAUGCAGCCCUUCUCAUCUCAUCAUUCUCUGUAUUGAAAAUCACAUGCUAAUGGGUACACACUUGACCCAACUUGUAGAUUCAACACCUUGAAAUAUGUUGUUUUGUAACCUUUAAGAUUUUUGGCCUGUUGUCUUUCACAUGUGUUGCUGUGUCCAGGAUCAGCAGAGUCCAAGAUGGCUCAAGUGUAUCUUUAAGUCUUUCCUGCUACUACUGACAGUGGAAUGAUUAUCUAGCAUCACCCUAACAGCACCCCAUUAAUCUUGCUUAUCGCAGCUCAUUAAAAUCAUAGAGGAUUUUUAAUUUGCAUCAUCAAGUUUUGGUAUUUUUCAUGACGGCUUUGGGAAUCGAAUUAUCCCUUUUUUUAAAGAAGUACUUGUGAUCUCUUUAUCUUUGGGAUUGUUAGCUUUUAGCUGUUAGCUCAAGAAUGAUGUGGUGAAUAUAUCCAUUACAGAUCUAAUCAAGUGUACGUUUAGAUCUGGGUCAAAUAUUAUUAACAACAUUUAGUAUUUAUGUUUUAUAGUUUUUAGGUUGCACUGAUUGAUUGUGCAGAUUUCAGUCAGAUGAUUGUUGUUGCAACUGCCCAGUCAAAUAGAAACUCAGUAGCUGUUAGCUAAAAAACUGGCAGUCCCCGUGAGCGGUCAUCUCAGUCAUCACUAUGGUUACCAGCGUGUCAUUACUAUGUAAUCACUGUAUUUGAUAAAACGCAAAACAUGUGGUAGAAGUUGUACAAGUACAAGAAGUACCUUUUUGUGGUUUUAGAAAAAUGCUUAUUGGGCGCUUGGUGUGCCGUUGUAAUAACAAAUAUGCAGAGAAAUAUUUAAUUUCUUAGACUUAUUUUUGAGUAUAACUUUGCAGUGGUCUGUUUUAUUUAUUGAUUCAGUUCGUAACAGUAUUUGAAAAAUCAAUAUAGCCCCAGGAAACCAAAUUGCUGCCUCCCUGCUAAUCACAUAACCUGAGGCCAUUUAAGUCAAUGUAGUUAAAACCCAACAAUCUGAUUAUUCAAACAUAUUUAAAUAAAUCUGCAAACUAUAUUCAGAGAAUAUUUGACUCUUUGUGAUUCCUGCUAAAAGGCACACUUAUGGAGAAUUUGGGGAAGACCUAAAAGUAGCGAUACGGUGACUAUGAAUGGUCAAACCUUUGUCUUGCUCUCCCGCCGCUUUUAGCUCAGUGAGGAUAUCCACUAUCCCUGCCUUUGGUACUAUCAUGGAGACCGUCACACAGAAAGAGUUGCUGGAGCGUGUAAAAAUGCAGCUGGCCUCAUUCCUGGAGGACCCGCAGUACCAAGAUCAGCACUCUUUGCACAUGGAGA